rnacentral:lncRNA from 1 species
GUAUAUACAGACCCAUGUUUUCUACUUGCUUUUUGUUGUUGUUCAGAGAAGGAUCACUGGGUCUGGGGCAAUCAGAGAAGACCUCAUGAGGACUGGAAAAUCUUAUUUCUUGAAGUUCAAGCUCAAGUAUCAACAAGGAAGAAAAUGCCAAAUAGAAGGAAUGAUAUGAGCGAAGGAGGUGUGAAGGACAAGUUCCAUGACAGCAAGAACUUCAUUUCAUUCACUGCUCUGUCCUCAGUGCCUAGUUCAGUGCCUGACACAUUGCAGCUUCUAGAUAAAAAGUAAAGAAGUAUUCAAAGAUUGAUACAGACGUGUCAAAAGGACUUGGGAGCCAGCUUGAAGGGAGUUUCGCCGGCCAAAUUUGGAAAAUUUGACCUUUGAAAUAAAUAAUGAUAGUGAUGAUUUACAAUCCAUUGGAUAAAAUGAGAAUCUAUGAGGCCUUAAAGAUAUAAAUAAACAAGUGGGUGAGAAGGGAAAGCCCUUCCUUACAGUGAAUGCCAACUAAUAAAGGUAGAUAGGAUGACAGAAAUGGGAGAUUAUAGAUCUUCUUCUAUGAUGUGGCAACCAUGAUAGAGGAAGAUAUCAAUAAUUGCUAAGGAUGGUGGGUAAAGGUUCAGUGAGGAACAGGAUAUUGGUACAAUGCCAGAAUAUCUCCCUACAAAAUACUCAUUAAUCACAAUGGAAAAAACAGUGGCUUUUUGGAGGAGAAAUAUGACAGAAACCAACCCGACAAAGUGGUCAAGAUAACACCAAGGGAAGAAUCUAUAUUCUGCAUCAGGAAGAGCAC